CAGUCGCCGCGGUAACACGAGGGGGGCAAGCGUUGUUCGGAAUUAUUGGGCGUAAAGGGCGCGUAGGCGGCGAUCAAAGUCAGGCGUGAAAUUCCUGGGCUCAACCUGGGGGCUGCGCUUGAUACUUGGUUGCUUGAGUGGGGAAGAGGGUCGUGGAAUUCCCAGUGUAGAGGUGAAAUUCGUAGAUAUUGGGAAGAACACCGGUGGCGAAGGCGGCGACCUGGUCCUUGACUGACGCUGAGGCGCGAAAGCGUGGGGAGCAAACAGGAUUAGAUACCCCGGUAGUCCCUGUCUCUUAUAC
rnacentral:rRNA from 1 species